UGUUUAGAUAUUGUAUAUAAACGAUUAAUAUAAUUAUUUGGUAAGUAUAAAAACUGAAUACCUACUUUAGAUGAUAGUGAAUAGUAUUGUAAAAGAAAGCUUAAGCAACUGUGGGCUGGAAUAAAGAAAUAAUGAAAGUAUGUACCUUUUGUAUCAGGGGUAAUCAAUGUAUAUGUGUUAUUAUACAAAGUCCCGAAAAAACAGGAGUUAAAUUUAAAAUAUUGGUUACGUGGAAAAGUAAUAUUAAAUUUAAAUUUAGUAGUGAAAUGUUAGUCGAUUGUUGUAUAUCUGGUUCUCUCUGAAAAAAAUUUAAUUUGAAGGAUUGUUGAAUUAAGCAAAUUUUUUAAUUGUAGGAGGCAUAAGCUUCUUAUAUUAAUUUACUAUGAGAUAUAAAAUAAUCAGUGGUUUAACUUGGCUUAAAAUCAGUCAUUUUGAUAAAGCGUUUUAGAUAAGAUCAAAAACAAGUAAUGAUUUAUAUAGUUUUAUAGGAUAGUAAGCGAGAAUAAAUUUUAAUUGCUGAUGUUUAAUUAAAAUGAUUGUAUUAGUAAUGAAAAUAUUUGUUGUUGUUUAAGUCAAGAUAUUAAUGAAAAUUUUGGGAUUUAAAUGAUAUAUAAAAGGAACUCGGCAAAUGAUAACUCUUGCCUGUUUAUCAAAAACAUGUCUGUAUGAAGAAUAAUAUAAAGUCUGGCCUGCCCACUGAAUUUAUUUAAAGGGCCGCAGUAAUUUGACUGUGCGAAGGUAGCAUAAUCAAUAGUCUUUUAAUUGAAGGCUGGAAUGAAUGGUCGGACAAAGAGUAAGCUGUCUUUUUAAUAUUUCUUGAAGUUUACCUUUAAGUGAAAAGGCUUAAAUGUAAUUGGGGGACGAUAAGACCCUAUAAAACUUUACAGUGGGGUCUGUGUUUUUUUAAAAUAAUGUAUAAUAUGAGCUACAGCCUGUCUGUUAUGUUGGGGAGACAUUAUCAUAAUAAGUAACUGUAAUAAAUAAAAAAUAAUAAUAAUUAGGUUAAUUGAUCCUUUAUUAAAGAUUAUAAGAUUAAGUUACUUUAGGGAUAACAGCGUAAUUCUCUUUGAGAGUUCUUAUCGACAAGAGUAGUUGCGACCUCGAUGUUGAAUUAAGAUUUCUUUAAAGUGUAGCAGCUUUAAAAGUAGGUCUGUUCGACCUUUAAAAUCUUACAUGAUUUGAGUUCAAACCGGUGUGAGCCAGGUUGGUUUCUAUCCUCUGUCUAAGAUUGAAUUACUUUAGUACGAAAGGAUUAAGUGGUUAGAAAACUUCUUUAGUGGAGAAGAAUUUUAAUUUU
rnacentral:rRNA from 1 species